rnacentral:tRNA from 1 species
UGGCUCUGUAGCUCAGUGGAUAGAGCGUCGGUUUCCUAAACCGUGCGUCGGGAGUUCGACUCUCCCCAGGGCCAU